ACUCACCACUUUCAAUCUAUCUACUGCUGCUAAUCUAUCUAUCACUGCUAAUCUAUUGCUGCUAAUCUAUCACUGCUAAUCUAUCUACUGCUGUCAAUCUAUCUACUGCUGCCAAUCUAUCUAUCACUGCUAAUCUAUUGCUGCUAAUCUAUUGCUGCUAAUCUAUUGCUGCUAAUCUAUUGCUGCUAAUCUAUUGCUGCUAAUCUAUUGCUGCUAAUCUAUUGCUGCUAAUCUAUUGCUGCCAAUCUACCUACCGCUGCCAAUCUACCUACUGCUGCCAAUCUAUCUAUCACUGCUAAUCUAUUGCUGCUAAUCUAUUGCUGCUAAUCUAUCGCUGCUAAUCUAUUGCUGCUAAUCUAUCGCUGCCAACCUAUCUACCGCUGCCAAUCUAUCUACCGCUGCCAAUCUAUCUAUCACUGCUAAUCUAUCGCUGCUAAUCUAUCGCUGCUAAUCUAUCGCUGCUAAUCUAUCACUGCUAAUCUAUCGCUGCUAAUCUAUCGCUGCUAAUCUAUCGCCGCCAACCUACCUACUGCUGUCAACCUAUCUACCACUGUCAACCUAUCUAUCACUGCCAAUCUAUAUAGGGUAAAUCAUGGUCCCAUUUGAUUCCAUUUUGUAAAAUGGAACCAAAUGAGACCAGAAUCACUAAUUUAUUAGUAAAACAUGAUCUGAGAUUAGAUUUAUAAUAUAAACAGUGUAAAGUGACUAAUUUGCUAAACACUAUAUGAGAUCAGAACUAAGAUAUCUAAUAAUAAGACUGAGGAAAAAUUUGAUUCCAGUUCCAUGCAUGAUCACACAGUCAGUCU
rnacentral:sRNA from 2 species